CCUACGGGAGGCAGCAGUGAGGAAUAUUGGUCAAUGGGCGGAAGCCUGAACCAGCCAAGUAGCGUGAAGGAUGACGGCCCUACGGGUUGUAAACUGCUUUUAUAAAGGAAUAAAGUGACGUACGUGUGCGGUUUUGUAUGUACUGUAUGAAUAAGGAUCGGCUAAUUCCGUGCCAGCAGCCGCGGUAAUACGGAGGAUCCGGGCGUUAUCCGGAUUUAUUGGGGUUAAAGGGAGCGUAGGUGGGUGGUUAAGCGUGUUGUGAAAGGUUGCGGCUCAACCCGAGAAUUGCAGUUGAUACUGGCAGCCUUGAGUACCGUGGAGGUAGGCGGAAUUCGUCGUGUAGCGGUGAAAUGCUUAGAUAUGACGAAGAACUCCGAUUGCGAAGGCAGCUUGCUGCAGCGGAACUGACGUUGAUGCUCGAAAGUGCGGGUAUCGAACAGGAUUAGAUACCCCUGUAGUC
rnacentral:rRNA from 1 species